rnacentral:rRNA from 1 species
UACGUAGGGGGCAAGCGUUGUCCGGAAUCAUUGGGCGUAAAGCGCGUGUAGGCGGCUUGAUAAGUCUGCUCUGAAAGUCCAGGGCUCAACCCUGGGAUGCCGGUGGAUACUGUCGAGCUCGAGUCCGGAAGAGGCGAGUGGAAUUCCUGGUGUAGCGGUGAAAUGCGCAGAUAUCAGGAGGAACACCAAUGGCGAAGGCAGCUCGCUGGGACGUGACUGACGCUGAGACGUGAAAGCGUGGGGAGCAAACAGG